rnacentral:tRNA from 1 species
GCAGUGGUGGUUCAGUGGUAGAAUUAUCACCUUCCAUGCGGGAGACUCAGGUUCGAUUCCUGGCUAAUGCA